rnacentral:lncRNA from 1 species
AACCUGAAACAAACUCAAAAUGGCAGUACAACUAAUAAAAAUGGGGGGUGGGGGGAAUGGACCAGCCUCCUUUUUACAUAACAAUUUCUCUGGGUCAGGUUAAGUUUUGUCAGUGGCACAGUUUUGUUGGGCCAGGCAGGGAUAUGCCAACAAAACAAAGUCUGAACUAGCCAGACUGUUUGAUAGGUCUACUUGUAACUAUGCAAGUAAUUGAGUUCCAUAAACUAAAUUAAGAAAAUUAAACUCAUUAAAGGCUGUAAACUUAUAUAUGUGCAAGGUGAUAUCAUAAUAUUAACACAACAAAAGGAUCAAAGCUGUUAGAAUAUAUGAAAAAUGAAAAUGUCUUAGAUAUCUUGAGAUAAUCGAACAUACUCUAAAUAGAAAAACUAAUCCUAUGAGAUAAUCUAACAUACUCC